CACAAUCGCAGGCACGCCCCCUCCCCCUCCCCGGCCUUCCGCGCCAUCGCCAAAUCGGACGCCGUCUGGGCCUGCUUCCUGCCGCCGCUCGCUGACCUCCCGCCGCUGGCCAAUGGAGAGCCGCUGCCGGGGCGCGGGAAGAAGGACAUGUUCCUCUGCCUCUCCGGCAGCUCCAUCCUCCUUUCAGGCGGACUCAUGAGCAUGUGGCUGGACAGGGAUUCCGGCGCCAAGUGUUACAUGGUGUCGGCGAAGCAGCUGUCCAUCGCGCGGCACGACACGCCACAGUACUGGUCCUGGAUUGAUCUCGCCGACUCGAGGUUCUCUAAAGGUGCUCAACUCAUCUUUGUUUGUUGGAUGGAAAUCCGCGGCAAGAUACACGGCAAGAUGCUGUCACAAGGCACACCUUAUGCCACUUACAUGCUGUUCAAGUUGGCAGAUGAGACCUACGGGCUGGACUCGCCAGCCGAUGCAUCUGUGAGCGUUGGAGGCACAGGUAUUGCGCGCAAGCUCUGCAUCCAACAUAACCCGCAAAGAUGCUAUACAGAGGACGUAGUGCUCCCUCGUGAAAGGGCUGAUGGUUGGAUGGAGCUGGAACUAGGUGAGUUUGUAUGCGAGGGGGAUGAAGAUGGCGACGUGUCCUUCAGCCUAGUGGAGACGAAACGUUUGAAUGAGAAGAGCGGUCUCUUCAUGCAGGGCAUGAAGAUAAGGCGUAAGAAUCAAACGGAUCUAAUUAAGGGAGGAGCUUCU
rnacentral:rRNA from 1 species